AACGAACGCUGGCGGCAUGCCUAACACAUGCAAGUCGAACGAUCCCUUCGGGGAUAGUGGCGCACGGGUGCGUAACGCGUGGGAACCUGCCCUUAGGUUCGGAAUAACUCAGAGAAAUUUGAGCUAAUACCGGAUAAUGUCUUCGGACCAAAGAUUUAUCGCCUUUGGAUGGGCUCGCGUUGGAUUAGCUAGUUGGUGGGGUAAAGGCCUACCAAGGCGACGAUCCAUAGCUGGUUUGAGAGGAUGAUCAGCCACACUGGGACUGAGACACGGCCCAGACUCCUACGGGAGGCAGCAGUGGGGAAUAUUGGACAAUGGGCGAAAGCCUGAUCCAGCAAUGCCGCGUGAGUGAUGAAGGCCUUAGGGUUGUAAAGCUCUUUUACCCGGGAUGAUAAUGACAGUACCGGGAGAAUAAGCCCCGGCUAACUCCGUG
rnacentral:rRNA from 1 species